UGCAAGUCGUGCGAGAAAGUAUCUUCGGAUAUGAGUAGAGCGGCGGACGGGUGAGUAACGCGUAGGAAUCUACCUAGUAGAAGGGGAUAGCCCGGGGAAACCCGGAUUAAUACCGUAUACCUCCUUCGGGAGAAAGAAGGCCUCUCUUUGAAGCUUUCGCUACUAGAUGAGCCUGCGUAAGAUUAGCUUGUUGGUGAGGUAAAGGCUCACCAAGGCUACGAUCUUUAGCUGGUCUGAGAGGACGAUCAGCCACAUUGGGACUGAGACACGGCCCAGACUCCUACGGGAGGCAGCAGUGGGGAAUAUUGGAUAAUGGGCGCAAGCCUGAUCCAGCCAUACCGCGUGUGUGAAGAAGGCCUUCGGGUUGUAAAGCACUUUAAGCAGGGAGAAAAAGUUAUAAGUUAAUACCUUAUAACCCUGAUGUUACCUGCAGAAUAAGCACCGGCUAAUUCCGUGCCAGCAGCCGCGGUAAUACGGAAGGUGCAAGCGUUAAUCGGAAUUACUGGGCGUAAAGCGCGCGUAGGUGGUUUGUUAAGUUGGAUGUGAAAGCCCUGGGCUCAACCUAGGAACUGCAUCCAAAACUAACUCACUAGAGUACGAUAGAGGGAGGUAGAAUUCAUAGUGUAGCGGUGGAAUGCGUAGAUAUUAUGAAGAAUGCCAGUGGCGAAGGCGGCCUCCUGGAUCUGUACUGACACUGAGGUGCGAAAGCGCGGGUAGCGAACAGGAUUAGAUACCCUGGUAGUUCACGCCGUAAACGAUGACAACUAGCUGUUGGGAGACUAUGUCUUUCAGUGGCGC
rnacentral:rRNA from 1 species